CCUACGGGUGGCAGCAGUGAGGAAUAUUGGUCAAUGGGCGCGAGCCUGAACCAGCCAAGUAGCGUGAAGGAUGACUGCCCUACGGGUUGUAAGCUUCUUUUAUAAAGGAAUAAAGUGAGGCACGUGUGCCUUUUUGUAUGUACUUUAUGAAUAAGGAUCGGCUAACUCCGUGCCAGCAGCCGCGGUAAUACGGAGGAUCCGAGCGUUAUCCGGAUUUAUUGGGUGUAAAGGGAGCGUAGGUGGAUUGUUAAGUCAGUUGUGAAAGUCUGCGGCUCAACCGUAGAAGUGCAGUUGAAACUGGCAGUCUUGAGUACAGGAGAGGUGAGCGGAAUUCGUGGUGUAGCGGUGAAAUGCGUAGAUAUUAGGAAGAACUCC
rnacentral:rRNA from 1 species